UAAAUAGCUAGGAUAUGUGUAUCUAUAGUGAUUGUGUGAAUAUAUUUAGAUGCUAGAAUCGUGACUAUAAUUACGUAUUUUAUUAGGAUUGUAUUUUCUAUUUAGUUGUCCUGUACAGAUUGGCUUGAGGGAAUAAUCAAACUCUUGAGGGAAUAAUCAAACUUUUCAAUCAUUCUCAAUAUUCUUUUUCUGUUCUAUUUUCUCACAAAAUGAAUGGCUUCAAACUCAUUAUCUAGCUCUACUUAUUUGGACAUCAUCCUUUUUUAUUUUUAUUAUUUUUUUCAUUGAAGUAAGCAUUAUGAAACAUAACUAAAAACCAUAGCACAUAUUUAAGCUUUGAAAUCCUGUUCCACUAUAAUCAGAGGAUCUAACCAAAAAUACUUGCUAAAACCUAUUCAUAUGCCUUUGUGAUAACUUUACUAGAGGCAUAUGGAAUGUUCCAACAUUAAAUAUUGUUUUCUUCCACCAAUAUUUUUCCCUUUGAGAAAAGAAAAAGAAAACCUAAAACCUUGUUGAGUUGUUAAAAGACAACUAUUUUGAGUCUUCAACAAAUCAUAUAAAGCAUAUCUGGAGUUAAUCUAGUAGCCAAAAAUAUCAAAUAAAAAAUAUAAAUACAAACUUUCUCAGAAAGACUGCUCUAUCUCUCAGACUGUGAUGCUAUUGAUGAAUUACGCAACAAUGGCAAUCUAAUCCCAGCUAUAACCCUAUUGUGCCAUUAUCUACUACUUCAGUAGGCAAAAGAAGAAUUUAGGCUCCCAUUCUAGGCCUAUGGGCUGAAUCAAGGAAGCCCAGCAAUAAGGUUUCCAAUAUUGUGCCACCACAGAAAAUAACACAAUUCAUAAUUUAUAGCAUUAAGGUGUAGUUUGACUUACUGGGAUAACUUGAUUGGUUCUGU
rnacentral:misc_RNA from 1 species